rnacentral:tRNA from 1 species
GGCUGGGGCUCAGUGGUAGAACACUCACCUCGUGUAUGUGAGGCACUGAGUUCGAUCCUCAGUGCCA